GACUCGUCACACUAUCAUUAACUGAAUCCAUAGGUUAAUGAGGCGAACCGGGGGAACUGAAACAUCUAAGUACCCCGAGGAAAAGAAAUCAACCGAGAUUCCCCCAGUAGCGGCGAGCGAACGGGGAGGAGCCCAGAGCCUGAAUCAGCAUGUGUGUUAGUGGAAGCGUCUGGAAAGGCGCGCGAUACAGGGUGACAGCCCCGUACACAAAAGCGCAUGUGCUGUGAGCUCGAUGAGUAGGGCGGGACACGUGGUAUCCUGUCUGAAUAUGGGGGGACCAUCCUCCAAGGCUAAAUACUCCUGACUGACCGAUAGUGAACCAGUACCGUGAGGGAAAGGCGAAAAGAACCCCGGCGAGGGGAGUGAAAAAGAACCUGAAACCGUGUACGUACAAGCAGUGGGAGCACAGGUUUACCUGUGUGACUGCGUACCUUUUGUAUAAUGGGUCAGCGACUUAU
rnacentral:rRNA from 2 species